rnacentral:lncRNA from 1 species
GUGGCGUUGGAUAUAGAGAGGGAGAGAGAGUUCACUUAGGGUGCGUUUGGUUCGCAUUAUGAAAAAUUACUAAAAAUAAAAAAUAUUUGAGAAUUUUUUUCUAUUCAUUCUAUUACUAAGAAUGUGAAAUUUCUGUGUUUGGUUCGCACGGUAAUAUUAAUUAGUCAUAUUAUUUAAUAUUAUAAAAAAUAUGCAAUUUAUUUAUUUAUUUAUUUAUUUAAUUUUAGAUAAUGUUAUCAAAAAUUUCAACAUCUUUUUAGAAAAAAAGGGAGAGAGAGUAUAAUUAAAAUAAAAGAAAGAAAAAUAUAGUCGAAAUUAGAGGGAGUGAGAGAGUUGAAAUUUUAGAAAGAGAGAGAGAGAAAGCUUAGUUUAGAGAGAGAAAAAAAAAUUGAAUUUUAAAGAGAAAAAUAAGUUUAGAAAGAGAUAUAAGGUUAGAGUGUAAAGAAAAAUAAUAUCAAUUAGCCGGCGGAUAGGAAGAAAGAAAGAGAUUAGAUAUAUUAUGAUUACUUAAAUCCAUUAAUAUGAGGAUACCCAUCCUCCCUCAAGGAAAUGAGAUUAGUACUUUGGGGUGAAUCUUAUUCCCAAGUGAAUCCAAUAUUACCAACUGGAUUACUUAGUGCGUUUAGCCAAACACCAUCAUAUUUUUUUAUUUCCAUUGAAUUACUAAGAAUUUUUGAAAGAUAGCGCGAACCAAACGCACCCUAACAUGCAUGCGUGGUUCAAAUCGAUAUUCGGUCCAUGGUUUUGCACCGUUCAUUUAAUCUAGCUAAUUGGUACCUGCACUAUGCCGGUACUUUUCAUCUUCAAUCACCGUCGUGCCUAUCUCUUUCUCCUUUUGCAAAUUAGGCUUGUGUGUUUCCUUUUUCCAGUUUGCUACGUGUUUUUUUAUAUGAACUAAUAGAUUUUUUUAACCUUCGACUGUUGUUCGAUGAAACCGAAAUUAAUAAAUGAUGAUGAUGCUAAUAUAUUCUGUUCGUGUGCAUGCAUGAUAGUUAAUGCUCAGUGUAGUCAUUGUCGUCGUUGUUGUUAUCGUUAUCGUCAUCACGCUUUGUAUUCUCCAUAAUCGGCGCCGCAUUUGUAUUUUAUUGUGUGAAAUUGGUGUUGUUGUAGGGACUUUUGUGAAAGAAAAAAGACAAAGUAAUGUGGUCCCAUUAGUACCGUCCAAAUAUGUUAGUUACUUGUCGACCGCGGUCUAAGCAUUGUCUAAUGGUAUAAAAUAAUAGGAUCUUUAACAACUGCAAACAUUAAUAAAUAAACUAUACUAUUCUCCCUUAANUUUAGAAAGAGAGAGAGAGAGAGCUUAGUUUAGAGAGAGAAAAAAAAAUUGAAUUUUAGAGAGAAAAAUAAGUUUAGAAAGAGAUAUAAGAUUAGAGUGUAAAGAAAAAUAAUAUCAAUUAGCCGGCGAGUAGGAAGAAAGAAAGAGAUUAGAUAUAUUAUGAUUAUCCUAAUCCAUUAAUAUGAGGAUACCCACCCUCCCCCAAGGGAAUCAGAUUAGUACUUCAGGGUAAAUCUUAUUCCCAAGUGAAUCCAAUAUUACCAACUAGAUUACUUAGUGCAUUUAGCCAAAUACCGUCAUAUUUUUUUAUUUCUAUUGGAUUAUUAGGAAUCUUUAAAAGAUAGUGCGAACCAAACGCACCCUUACUACUAUAUUAGCAACUAUUUUAUAACCCUCUCCAACUCCGCUCCGUUGAGUAAAUAAAGUAAGAGGUUGAACAUUUUUUUUUCUUGAAUUCGAUUUGACUCAUCAAAAAUUCGCUAAAAAUU